UAAACCAUAAACAACAAAGGUUCAAGUAUAAACUGUUAGAAACUUAAAAUCAAUUAAGACAAAAGCCCAAGAAAUCUAUCAAAGAACAAAUCAUCUGCCAUUCUGGAAAAAAAAAAGAAAAAAUGUUAAACAUUGCAUUUUUCACAUCACAUCUUAUGCCAAUAGUAAAGAGAUUUUCUUCUUUCUAUUUACCUUCAAAUCCAGAGAACUAUACAUCAAACCUGUGAAACACCAAUAACAUGAUUUUUAAAACAAAAUUUCUAUUAGAAACAUGCUAGUUUAGCUAAUCUUUAAUUACUUCAGCGCCUGACUAGGAAGUCACUUAUACAAAAGACCUAUUAGUAGUUUUCACGUAAUUUAAUUGAUCCAAUAAUUUAAAAUAUCCCGAACAAUAUUCAUUUAAUCUGGGAAAGAGCAAAAAAGAAGAAAAUGAAUACUUCAC
rnacentral:lncRNA from 1 species